rnacentral:rRNA from 1 species
GUAGUCUCGCACAGACUGCAUAUCAAUAAGCGGAGGAAAAGAAACUAACAAGGAUUCCCCUAGUAACGGCGAGUGAAGCGGGAAGAGCUCAAAUUUGAAAUCUUAAAGGGUUUCCCUUUACGAAUUGUAGUUUAAAGAAGUGUUUUCUGUUGAGGUUUUGGUAAAAGUUCUUUGGAAUAGGACAUCAUAGAGGGUGAGAAUCCCGUAUUUGACCUUUACUUUCAACUUUGUGAUACACUUUCAAAGAGUCGGAUUGUUUGGGAAUGCAGUCCAAAAUGGGUGGUAAAUUUCAUCUAAAGCUAAAUAUUGGCGAGAGACCGAUAGCGAACAAGUACCGUGAGGGAAAGAUGAAAAGAACUUUGAAAAGAGAGUUAAACGGUACGUGAAAUUGUCAAAAGGGAAGCGUUUGACACCAGUGUUGUUUUUCUGAAAAUCAAUUAAAGAACUGUUUAUGCUAAGCUGUUUAGACUUUAUCAGCUAACUGUUUAGUUUUGAGCUUUUCUUUAAUGCACUUUUCAGUUAACAAGUCAACAUCAAUUUCUUUUGCUGUAAAAAAGCUUGAGGAAGGUGGCUUGAGAUUCGUCUUAAGUGUUUAUAGCCUCUUGCCUAUGCAGUCGGAGAGAUUGAGGUCUGCAGCGUAGAGCCUUCGGGGCUAAAUGCAUUUGUGCUAAGUUAUAGCAUUUUAUAGACAACUUGUUGACUAUGAUUUGUCUUGUAGCUUACUCGCUUAUGUUAUUUUACCUACGCUUAGGAUGUUGAAGACUCUACAGAGAUA